AUGCAUCUCCCUGCUCUUGUCUCUCUGCUGUCCUAGACCCAAUGGAGAAGACAGGCAGGCGGCACCUGCUGGAAGCCCUGAAGGAGCUGGGGGGCCGGGAGCUGAAGGAGUUAAGGGCCAAGAUCAGUCUGGUCUGGCUGAAGAGGGGGCUGGAGGGCUGCUGAGCGGAGCAAAGCCCUUCCACCCCUCUCUAUGGCGGACGGUGGAUGCCGGGCUGGAGGUGACGGUGGAGGGGCUGAGAGCUGUGAACCGGGGAGAUCUGGCAGAGGAAUUGGCCGUGUUGCUGGACGCUUAUGAGGAGCAGCGCCGGGAGCAACAAUCAGCCGUCUCCAGAGCCAGGGGCUGCCUGCUCUGGACCUUGAAUGAGCUGGGGGAGGACGAGCUUGGGAGGUUCAAGGUCAAGCUGGCCGACAUUGGGCAGAAAGGGGGCUACAACCCCAUCCCCUGGGGCCAGCUGGAGAGAGCGAAGCCUGCAGAGGUCGCCGCGGAGCUGAUCAACCACUACGGGGUGCGCUGUGGCUUGGAGACGGCUGGGGAAGUGCUCUGGGCCAUCAAACGGGGGGAGCUGGCAGGGGGACUGGCCGAGGCACUGGAGACUUACGAGGAGCGAUGCAGGGAGCAGAGACUGGCCCUCUGCGGAGUGCAAGAGAUGCAGGCGCGAACCGUGGGAAGCUUGGGCGAGGAGGAUCUCAGGAGGAUCCGGGAGAGAGCGGCCAAGACCCAUCCACAGGGGGGGCCCUACGGCCAACCCCUGGGGAGGGCAGGAGAGAGCAGAGGUCAUGGAGAUGAUUGAAGAGCUGGUGAGCACCUACGGAGAAGGCCAUGCUGUGUUGAUGACCCAGGAGAUGCUGAGAGCCGUGAGCCAGGGACCCCUGGCCGAGCGACUGGCUGAGGCCACCGGGAUCGCAGGAGAUGGACCCGGCGGGGAGGACCUCGCCACGGACCCCUGGGGGAAGCAGGAGAAAUGCACGUGGUGUGUGACAGAGGAGGACCUGUCAGAAGUGAAGCCAGAGCUUGUGCUGGAGUCCGAGGGGAAGCCCAGAUCCUACAGGUUUCACCGUCCCCGGGGCAGGCUCCUUCCGUUGCUCUGAAACCGAACUGGGGUUCGAGGUGAGGGCAGCUGUGACCAUCCAGUACAGAUACGACUCCUGGGAUCGGCAUCUGAGCACAUCUGAGAAGCAGCAAUGGACGGUGGCCGGCCCUUUGUUCAACAUCCGGGUGGAACCAGCAGGGGCCGUGGCAGCCGUUCACCUCCCGCACGUCCUGUGUCUCAGAGGCAGAGAUGCUGUUCUGCCCCAGAUGCGAAUCGCUCACUUCACUGAUGGGAGGAUGACUCUGGAGGAGCCAACACAGGUGAGGCCGUUCCACGCCGUGCUGGAGAACCCCAGCUUCUCCUUCAUCGGGGUGCUCUGGAAACCCAUCUACACCGUGUUUCCGUUCAUACCCAUCCACUCCGUGGUGCUGAUCUACCAGGUAGUCAAGGCUGCAGCCAUCACCCUCCACCUCUACCUGAUUCCCAACGACCGCUCGCUCAUCCAGGCAGUGGAUGAAGAGGAGAAAAAGCACCAGUCCAUACAGGUGCUCAAGCCCCCUCAGACGAAGCCCCUCUACUUUGGCGCUUGUUACACCGUGUCCAGUUCGUUGGACUUAGAGGUAACCCCCGAGGUGAGUGACAUUUAGCUAUAAGUCUAAAGAAUGCAAACCACUGCCUGGAGGAUCAAUAGACUUAACAAGAGCAUGUUGUUAGAUCUCACCCCAGAUCCCUCCUUGCUACAGCUGGUUGAAAAUGUUCUAGUGGAGCAGUGUUCCAUCGGCGGCUGCUGACUGGACGGAAUUGGGAAUAUGUCCAUAUCAAUUACAUGUCAUUGUAAUGAUUCUUUUCUAGAACAUCAGAACAUUUGAUUUUGAUUUUUCAUUUUGAAAUGUUUUUCAUUUAACAAUUUAUAUUAUAUUAUUAUAAUAAAUUCACACGUCCCUUCCUGACUCCUUUUCCCGUUUACACAGGGAAAUUCUUCGGCACUCUUUGCAUGGCACGGGCUUGCAGGUCAUGGAGUUCCACUCCUUUUCUCUUCAGAUGUCUCUAGACAGAGUCUUUCCAGCGAUCCUCAGCCUCUCUUGUCCUUUCUUGCUGUCCUCUUCCUAACAUGCUUUCUUUGCUAGUUGUUCUUCUCCCAUUCUUAUCACAUGUCCAACCUACCUGAAACGUGUGCUCUGCGGCCUAUCGCUGAGAGUCCCAAAUUCAUCUUCCUCCUUAUUUCUUCCAUGCGCACCCUGUCUACCCUCCACUUGGCUCCCAUCGUCCUCAGUGUAUUAUUUUCUACUACCUCUAUCUUCUUGUCCUCCAUCUCCAUAAGAUCCACCAUUUCCAAACCAUAGAGCAGGUAGGGACAAACUCACGCAGAAUACACUUUUCCUCUGCAUUUGUUACGUCACUGCUGGUCCCACAGUGUUCCUGCCACUUUUUUCACUGCUGCCCAUGCACACUGGGUUCUUCUUUUCAAAGCUUGAGAUCGCUCUCCAAUGGCAGUAAGUGUCCUUCCCACGUACACAAACUCUUCUGAUUCAGCGUCUCCCCUGAAACUUCAAUCAACAGCUCUUGCUUCCCCCUUCCCUGAGUAAUUUCAGUUUUCUUUGUGUUUACCUUCAAACUAGGGUCUUCAAACACCAAUGCCCAUCCUGAUACCAUAUUUAACAAUUCCGAUUUGCUGUCAGCCAGAAGGGCCAGGUUGUUAGCAUACGUUCGUUUGCUUAGUGUCUACACAAGCUUGGUUCUCCUACUGAUUAACUCCACAACUAGAAUGGAGAGAAGUGGACCCAGUGCCCUGCCUUGUCUCAAUCACACACCAAAACUCUCAGAGUUACCACUUUAGCUCCUGACCCUCCCUACAGCUCCCCUAGUACUCU